rnacentral:lncRNA from 1 species
AGCAGAGGAGGAGAACAAUGAUAAAGAAGAAAGUUGUGAACUUAGCCAUUUUAUGAUAUGACUAAGUACUAUACGGUUUCUGUUAGUUAUGAAGUAGAUCAGAUCAAAUAUAUCGAGAGAGAGGUGAUGACUGAUGGGAGGAACUUGUAUGAGAUUUAGGUUAGUAUUUGGGGAGUAUUUAUAGAGAAAACAUGAGAUGCGAUAAAGGUUCAGCAGAAACCUGAGCCAUAUAAUCUUAAGUGUGCGUCAUGAAACCAUUACAUACCAAACACGAGCAUGUAUAUUUUUAAUUGCUAAAAUUGAGUUAUAUAUGAAAAUAAAUGAUAUGUAAUUAAACCAUUGUUUUUGGUUGGUGAAUCAGGCAGUUUCUGGUGAAAUUGAUCAAUGAGGAGUCAACUAUAUCUUAAAUACCUACAUACAUAAAUGGAAGAAAGUUGGUGGCGGAUGUAUCUGUACACUCUGAGAUUCACCUAAUGAUUCUCGUGUGAAGUUAGUUGCAGUAUACACUAAUGAGUGUCGUAGUUAAUUACUUAUAAAGCAUUUCGAUGGUUGUAAAUUGUAAUUAGUGAAUAAUUGGCUAUUUCCAACGGCCCCCCGGGAAUUCCUUCCUGUAAUUCUAUUAUUUUUGUUGUUGGUAAGUAAUUAUUUUACACAUACGUGUGAUACGUCGGCUUCAGGCCCGGCUCAAAAUAUAAUUGGGCCCUGUCUUGUUGAAAAUUUGAAAAAUAUUUUCUAUAGUACUUAUGAAAACUAGACUUUUAAAUUAUUAGAAUUUUCAAAUUUUGGGCCCUAAAAUAAUAAGGAUCUAUAUAUAUAAAAAUAAGUUUGUUUCACUCCUGUGCGUCCACGUCAGCGCUAGGUCAGAAAGUCGAGGUUUGUAGUGCCGCCACGUGUCCCGUCCGUACGAAACGCAUCACUUCAUUUAUUUUUAAUAUCUGUUGGGCUUUUAAGGUUAAUCUUAUAUAUUCAGUGUUUUUGGGCUGAUAAAUUCGUAUGGUUAAGUUGGCCCGAUGGCCCAUGAACAGAAACCUAAAUCUGAUGAAGCAAAAAAGUCUGUGUGACGAUUCCAUUAGAGAGACUGAGAUGUAGAAGUCUGUGUGCCGAUUCCAUUGGUUGGGUUUCGAUCAGUACUUUCGACUUCUUUCCAUCCAUCGAAACGAGAUAGCUUCUGGAUCCAUCGCAGUAAACAAGAUAGCUUUUGGAUCCAUCGCAGUAAACAAGAUAGUAAGCAUCAGUGUUUGUUUGAUUUUCGUAAUCUCUAGAUUAUUUUAAGGUUCCUUAUUGUCUCUUAGUUCCUUAUUGAUGUUCUUAUUGGAUUGAUCAUCAUCAUCUCCUCCGAUGUUAGAUCAGUCUUUUUGAAAUUUAAAUUUUUUUAUUAAUGAUUAUAUUGCAAGAGGGUUAAUUAAGAAUAUAAUGGGAUUAUGGAAAAUGCAAACGUGAAAACACCACUAGGCACUAGCUAUGUUUCUAAUAUAUUAAUCCAAUCAACAUUAAUCAUUAUCAUAUUAGGUUGAGGUAUAGUAUCGUGAAAAAAAGUUUGAUUUUUAAAAAUGCAUUCAUUAUUUGUUUCUAAUAUGUUUUGUUUCACCACUACCUACGUCUCUCGAAACAAUGGAAUUCAACAUCAACAAAACUGUCACAGCAUGGGAAGAAAUGUUUAAUUGAAGAAUGAAUUUGGAACAUAUCGCAUUAUAAAGGUAAGUAGGUAACUGGAUAUUAUAUUCGAUCUUAGAUUUUAUAGAACGGAGUACAUAGUAGCAUGCCCAAAUUAAUAAAGUUUUUGGCUUUAUUGCUCGAAACAAGAUUUCAGGUUCAAAGAGUUGGUCAACAUCAUAAUGCACUAUCCUCAAGGGAAUCAUGGAAUUUAUAAAGAUGGAAGGCCUAUCUAUAUCAAGAGCCUAGGACAAGUCAUCCCGGUAAGUAUCAUGUACUAGAAACAUACAAACAUUGUGACCUUUAGGCUUUAGAUAAUGUGAAUACAUAUUGUGAGAAGAAGAUGGAUCGUUGAUCAUCGAUCAUGUUCUUGAUAAUGUUUAUAUGAUUCUUGCGACAGAUCUGUUUCUAUUGAUCCUUCACCUAGAUUUCAUGAUUUGGAUAUGUUCUCUGGUCUCACGUUAGUUGUUUGUUAGAGAUUGAUUUUGAUUCAUAUAAAUGAAGCUCAUGAUUGCUGGAUAUUUAUCUGAUAAUGGUAUAGGUCGAUGUCCACACAUUAAAAGUGUCAAGGUUAGAUAUGUGGUUCCGAGUGGAGCUUUGGUUGGUAUCUACGAGGAUCUUGAGCUCAAAGAUGGGGGAUCAAACUACCUUGGGAAGUGUAUCUCUAAAGUGAGAAACUACAUUGUCCGUGAGAGAAGUAUUAUCCGAUUUUUUUCCUUUUUUUUUUGUUGAUGUCGGCUGUUGGCAAUGUGAACUCGAUCAUUGGCCCAGCGUUAAUCUUUCCUUGUUUUAUGUUUAGUGCUACAAAUUUGUUUCUAAAACUGUUUUUUCACAUUCAUGUAUUUUUUUGUUCUUGCAGGAUCCAAGAUCCAACUCAGCAGACUGAUAUUGACAACUUCAUGGUCUCUGGAGAGAUGGAACCCAAAACGAGCCGGGUUGGUGAAAUCAAAAGAUGAUUCAAGAGAAAUUCAUGUUUUAUGUAUUUAGUCAAUAAUGAAAGAUGAUUCUGACCAUCUUGGUUCUUCUUUUUGUGUACAGCUUGUAGCCAAUUGUAUUUUUGCUGUGUGCAAAGCUGGGGUCAUUGACUCAUUGUCUAUGGCAUUCUCUCUACAAAGCGAAAGUAGGAGAGCAAAAGGUAAAAAUAAAUUAGAUGAUAGGGUAAUGUUCGGCACCAACAAAGAUGAGGGGAAAAGGCAAACAAUAAAAAGAAUUAAUGAUUACAUUUUUACGUUUUUUAUGGUAGAUAAUUUUAUAAAUUUUAACAAAAAGGGAAAAUAGUAGAGUUGGUAUAACUAUAGUUAAAUUUCUGAUUUGUAAAUUUCUAUCUUUUGGCUUAUUGCAACAGUCACUGUAUUCUAAGGGAUGUGGUACAAUAGCAAGUUUAUACGUGUCUAUAUUCUGAGUCAUGAAAGCUUUGUAAACUACUUACUUGGCUCUACUUAAGAGCCAAAACCAAUGUAUGCUGACUCUUUCGAGAAUUACAAUCAAGAAGAAAAAGAAAGAUUAUGCAACAAUUACUUUUACGUGGCUUUCUCCGAGAAGUAACAGCAGAGGAAAGUGCCAAUGAGAAGAGAAAUACAAACAACAUGGAUGCAUUGAUGGUUCCAUAGAUUAUAUGAUUCUCUAUAUCUAUCUAAACUUAUUGGUCAUCCGAACAAUUUAACUAAGUUUUACUAAGAAAAUUUUAUAUGCUUCAUAAAGUUCUUUAUGAACUUAACCAAAAAAAUAUAUUGGUUUAAAUUCCAUUAACGUAAAAAUACAUUUUCUUUUGUAGUCUACAUAUUAUGAUUUUAAAGUAGCUAUUGGUUUGAAUCUAUUUUAUUAACUUUAUAUUAUAGUAAUAGACUAUAAGGGAUUAUUAAUUUCAUAGUAAUAUAAUUUUUAAAAAUUCUAAAUGAAUGAGUGUUACUUAAUCCGAGAAUGUAGUAUGACCUUGGCUGGUUUAUUUGAUAAAAGUUUUAAUAGAAUGUGUGUUUACUUAAAUAGUCAAUUUCAGAUUGUUAUGUUAAAAAACAAAUUGUAAAUUGAUUCAUUUUUCACAUUAUCUAAAUCAAUAGGUUUAAGAAUGUAUAAAAAAGUACCAACGCAUAGUUAAAAGUUAAGAGACGGGUUCUUAUAUUCCGCUAAGAACCUCGUUCUAAGAAUCUUCCAAUAAUCAUGCUCUAAGAUGCUUAAAAGGAUUUUGAUGUCUCAAUAUAUAAGAUAUUUUCAUAUUUUUAGGUAAACUUUAAUUUUUAAUUUAUAGUUUUAAGUUUUUAAUAAAAAUUAACUUUUAGUAUGUGUUUUUUUACUAAAACAAUUUAUAUUUAGGAACAGAGUGAUUAGGUAUCACUUCGUAUUAUAGUGGAAAAAGAAACCAUACUACUAGUACCUAACUUUUCCACCAAUAAUCAAUACACAUACUUUCAGAUCAAGUGAUAUAGAUAAAUACAAAUGUGAAGUAGUUUGACUAAUAAUAAAGAAAGCACAAUGACACAAUAUAUCAUUUACCAAAAUAUUCCAAUGAAUGAUUAGAAGCUAAUUAAUCAUUUAGGGAUUGUGGUUUUGUGUGUAGAUGUAAUCAGUAUGAGCAGCCAAAGUUCUACGUAUCAAGAAGCAUUCUUCUUCUCCAACACCUUCGCAGUUUUCCUCUCCUUGUUCUAAUUUCUGUACAUAAAAAAAUAAUAUGAUCACUAAAUUUAAAUUGUUUAUAUCUCCAUCAUGUUUAUUAAUUCACUAUAAAUAGAAUAAGAAGAGUGAUGGUGAGGUUGGGAGACCUCAACGGAGAUUUCUCCCGGAUAAACGGACGUUGGAGUAGGCUGGGCUGAUGCGUUUGUUAGCGUGGAGCAGAGGAGGAGAACAAUGAUAAAGAAGAAAGUUGUGAACUUAGCCAUUUUAUGAUAUGACUAAGUACUAUACGGUUUCUGCUAGUUAUGAAGUAGAUCAGAUCAAAUAUAUCGAGAGAGAGGUGAUGACUUAAGAUGGGAGGAACUUGUAUGAGAUUUAGGUUAGUAUUUGGGGAGUAUUUAUAGAGAAAACAUGAGAUGAGAUAAAGGUUCA